ACGCUCGACACCUACGGAGGCAGCAGUGGGGAAUAUUGCACAAUGGGGGAAACCCUGAUGCAGCGACGCCGCGUGAGCGAAGAAGUAUUUCGGUAUGUAAAGCUCUAUCAGCAGGGAAGAAACUGACGGUACCUGACUAAGAAGCACCGGCUAAAUACGUGCCGNAGCCGCGGUAAUCUGAGCGGGCUGGCAAGGC
rnacentral:rRNA from 1 species